AUUGAACGCUGGCGGCAUGCCUUACACAUGCAAGUCGAACGGUAACAGGUCUUCGGAUGCUGACGAGUGGCGAACGGGUGAGUAAUACAUCGGAACGUGCCUAGCAGUGGGGGAUAACUACUCGAAAGAGUGGCUAAUACCGCAUGAGAUCUACGGAUGAAAGCAGGGGAUCGCAAGACCUUGUGCUACUAGAGCGGCCGAUGGCAGAUUAGGUAGUUGGUGGGAUAAAAGCUUACCAAGCCGACGAUCUGUAGCUGGUCUGAGAGGACGAUCAGCCACACUGGGACUGAGACACGUCCCAGACUCCUACGGGAGGCAGCAGUGGGGAAUUUGGACAAUGGGCGAAAGCCUGAUCCAGCAAUGCCGCGUGCAGGAUGAAGGCCUUCGGGUUGUAAACUGCUUUUGUACGGAACGAAAAGCCCCGGGUUAAUACCCUGGGGUCAUGACGGUACCGUAAGAAUAAGCACCGGCUAACUACGUGCCAGCCGCCGCGGUAA
rnacentral:rRNA from 1 species